GGCUUUCAUGAACCAUUUGAACGCAUCAGGAUUGACGUUUAAGGCAUGAACAUUAAAAGAGUUUCAUUUAGCUCCAAUGUAGUUUGGGGAAGAAGGAGAAAAGCUCAAACUUGUUUAAAGAUUUUUUAAAAAUAUUUAUUUUAAGUUUGUUUUGGCACUACUAGCCUUUAUACAUUAGUACUUCAGUUACAGCAAGUCUUGUUAAGUGAACUUAACUCCAGACUGGAGUUAAGUUCAGAGAGCUGAGAAGAUACAUUUUCAGGGAACGCCAAAGGUUCUCAGAUCAUUCUCAGUUUCAUUUAUGCCUGGGCUUUGACUGGACCACUUUAACACAUACUAAUGUUCUCAACUAAGCCCUUCUCUUGUAAAUUUAGGGUUAUCGUCCUGCUGCAAGGUGAACCUCCUGUCCAGUCUCAUCCCUUAGAGCAUCUGACAGGUUUCCCUCUGAGGACUGUCCAGUUUUUACCUCCAUCCACCUUGCAAUCAACUCUGAUCAGUUUUCCUGUCCCAGUGAUGUUGCCUCUACCGUGGGCUCAGGACGAUGUGCAGAGCUAUAUUUGACGUCUGUUUACUAAGCAGAUACUAUGUUUUAUUUAUAGGCGGAGCUGCACAAUAAUUCAAACCACAGUUGUCGCUACAUGUCAAUGUAUGAAGCAUCUCCAUGCAAAGGACAGCAUGGAUGCAGUUCUUGGUUGGAUUUCCACUUACACGCAUGCAAAUUCUGCAUGACAACAACUGAUGCAUAUAUUUAGUUUGGCUAUUGUAUCGCAUAUGUUUUCCUAAUAUUGUGCAACCUUUUUAAGCGUAUCAGAGUAAAGCGGGUUGAAUAAAAUGGAUAACCAUUUUGAAAACCAUGCACCAUUUCCCUUCCUCUUUGUGUGUCAUGCAAUCUUCCAAUAUUAUACACUGAUGGAUAUUUUAAAGUGCUUCAUUUUUAAUGCAGCAAUAACUUUUGAGUCCUUUCAAAAUAUCUUUCAGAAUGCAUCUGGACUCCCAAAUGCAAGAUUCCGGUCAUGUCGCUACAAAGAUUUUUGUCCUGGCAGCCACGAGAGCCGUCGUCUCAUCGGUGUUCUGCUGCUUCUCCUGGUCCAUUAAAGUUUCAUAGUAUCUCUGCUCCUUGUCAAGCAUCACUUCGUUCCAGGAUCCGAAAUGGAUGAACCGUUUUAAGCAAGUUUUACCUGAUCGAUAAAACUGAAAACUGCAUAAUUUGACACCCGAGACUUCCCAUUCGUCACUGCCUCAUCCCGCUGCACGCUGAAUAACUUAACAUUCACAGCUAUGAAUGUGAAAGAAAAAGAAGGCACGCUUCUUGGUACAAUUUUGUUUAAAUGGGGAGAUUUUGAAAGCGGCAAAUAAAUCAAGUAUGGAGAUCAUUCAGAGGCAUUUUUAAGGCAAUAGCUUGAAAGCGAAACCUUGUGUGACUGUGCAGAAGCCCACAGGAAGCCAGGCAUGAAGUUUAAGAGUUCACAGAGCAACAGGAGCCUGGCAACCGGGAGAAAAGAGGCUGGACUAAAAAGACAGGAAGGGAAAACAGAGAGUGAAAGGAGAGGAUAGGGCAGAGAGUGGGUGGGAGAAAUUAGCAGCUCAAAGGGCUGAUAUUUUGUACAGAAAGAGACGACAAACAGGAUGGGAUGUAGUCGAUGUCUGGAGUGAUUCAGGUAAUUAAAACGGGGAAUGACAGACAAGAGCAAAACAGGAAGGGAAGACAGACGAGCCUCUGCCGAUCAGCAGGCUCCUUGCCUUUCAUCUAAAUCUAAUAUAUUUCCACCGUUCACCAUCAAGCCUCCUCUCCCUGCUGCUAAAUGAUAUAUGAUUACCCCGCAACCACAAAUAAUAAAGGCUUCAUUGUGGAAUGAGCAGACUGUCAAGAGAUGCAUUUGGAAGCCAUAUGAACUGGAACGGUGCGAGCAGCAAACAGGAGAGGACAUGCAGCAUCCCCUCGCUAAUGCAGGUCUGCACGGCAGAAGUUGACAGAGGUGUUGACGUGACGGCGCAAAAUCCUGGGGAGUAUUUAUAGCAUUGAGGCGUCUCGGCAGCUAAAAGGAAGCAACGUGUUUUCUGUUACUUUAGUCACUCAGGAUGCCUGUUAUAUAACAGGUCUGGGCUCAGAUGAAACUUUUGUUUGGCGGUCUCCCAGCCCUGAAGUGAAAAACGAAGACUCGUUUCACGUUCACACACACAAACUCAUCCCCGUCGUCGUCGUUGUCGUUGUUCCAGGCCGUCUCUCAGCCGCAUCUGUUAAGGUGUGCCUCCAAGCUGACAGAUUUGCCGGCUUGCGUUUAGAGCGGCGGGUGUGUGACGUCUCCGUUUGAAAUGCGAGGUGCGGGGAGGAACACCCAGGGAGUCACCAGAAGAGUUGAAAAGUGACUUUAGUCCCUCUGCAGUUGAACGCCAGCCCACCGCCCGGUGAAGGCCAGAAGGACUUAAAAGACAACCCCAGCCCAUAUAUGGCCAGCUGACAUUCUUUCCCAGCAGGCUUUCCAACCUUUUUCCCACAUCAUUUAAGACCCCCCCUACUGGUAGUCACUUCUAAAGCGUCGUUCUUCUAUUCACCUCUUUUCCACUCCACAAAGAUGUUUCUGUAAGUCUGCCUCUGCACUGAAGUUUCAGCAUUUCAUGCGGCAACCACAGAUUUCACACCGGCUUUGAUUGCUGCUUUGAUCAGACGCAAGCGUCACCGUGCGCCAUGUGAUUUCACUCAGCCGGUCUGAAAUCUACAUACGUCUGAAUGUGCUGCGAUGUUGACUAAACCACAAUAAUUACAAAGGGUGGGGCCGGCUGGCGUACCAGACACACAGUGAUGUCAAGACUUAUGAAAUUUGUCCGCACCUCUUCACAAACGGAUUUGGUUUUCCUGUGAAUGAAUCCUGGAAAUAAGAAUGCAUGACUAAAGUUCACCUCUCUGACGUACAGUGUCGUUCUGACCUGCAGCCGCCGAAACCAGUUUGGGUGCUUUACAGCAGCCUUUAUCUGUGACUUUAUAUGCACGCACGCACGCACACACGCACACACGCACGCACACACACACACACACACACACACACACACACACACAUAUGCAGGCUCGCUGUUGUUUUAGAGAUGAUUUUUUUAGUUCCAUAGGAAGUAUAAUAUUUGAUCAAGAGUAAAAAACACAAGACGCUCUGUGUCUUUUGGUGGCUCCUUUCCAUGUUACCCUCUGGUUUUGACUUAGGUUUCUAUUAUUUCCUGCUGCAUGAUUUUUCAGAUCAUGAUUUAUUUCUGUGUAAUGAAUAAUAAACAAACUGAUGCCCUGCAAAACUACUGAACCUUUUCACUUUUUGUCACAAACUCAAAUUUAUGUGAUAGACUGACAGAAAUAGUGCAUCGCUGUUAAGUGAAAAGAAUAAAAAUCUAAAAGGUGAGGCAUAAAUUUGCGCUUAAAUGUUUUGCAGCUUUUAACAAACUUCCCUGCAGGUCUGCUCUACAGUUAACUUGAUCGGUUUUACCAUUAACCCUGAAAAUAUUCUCACUACAUGAUGCUGCUACCAUCGACGUGGUAUGUUUGGGUGACAUACGUUACCUUGUAUGUCAAACAAAAACUUUACUGUUUGAGCGUAUCUGACCCGAACACCUUCUCCAAAUAAUAUUUGCUGUGACACUCAAACAGCUGGUUGCAAUUUGCAAACUGGGCUUCUUAUGACUCAACAUCAUCAGUUGUUUUCUUCUGUCCACUUAUCCAAAAAGGGCAGAUGUUUCGUUGAGGGCAUGUUGUCCUGUUAGGAUGUUCUUCCACCUGAGCUGUGGAUCUCCGCAGCUCUUCCAGAGUCAUAUUAGAGGCGUUCAAAAUUUACACUUCUCCAAGCGUCAUCUCUGACCUGUCUGCUGUGUUCACUGCUCCUCACGAUGCUUUUUUUUUUUGUUCACUGUUAUGUAACAAACCACCGAGGUCUUCACAGAACAGCUGGAUCAGAUUAAAGACAUACAGGUGCACGGCAUUUACAAAUUAGGUCACUGUUAAAAGCACGGCCCAAAAAAGUUAUUUUUUCUGACUGUUUGUUAAAAACAAGUCCUCCAUACCUUGUGCUGUAUUACCACAUAAAAUCCCAAUGUAAUACGUAAAAGAUUGUGGUUGUAAUGUGGCGAAUUAUUAAUAACUCCCGGUGUUAUGAAUAAUUCAGCACGAUACUGUUUCUGUGUUUUGUUCCAUUCCUGCCUAAACAGCUCUAGAAAUGAAAUCAUGUGUCCAACAGAUGAAGGGCUCAGGUCUGGAUGGCACAGAUGUGUUUCCUCGCAUUGGGUUUCUGUGAGACUCUUUUCCUCAUUCAGUAUCAAAGUCAAAACUUGUUCCACUUAAUGUGGACUGGAAUGUACAAUUAGGUUUGGUCACACAAUAAUGUCAUUUAUCAUAAGGAAAUAAA